UUGAGUAUUCUAUAUGCAAUAACAAUUGAAAUUUCACAAAUUAGCAAUGCUAUUUUGUCUUAAUAUAUGAUGACAGCAACUUAAUUGCCCUGAUCCAAUAAAUAGGCAAAAACUACCAAGUAUAGAAAAUGCACACAAUUUAAAAAGUUACAUGUAUAUUUAGAAAGAAAAAAAUUGUACUAUUGCAUUUUAUGAGCCUUUCAACUAGGUCCAUUGGGUAAGACAGGGCAAGUAAAACAAGCUUUGCUUUUUAGGCUGCAAUUUGAGGAGCUCCAUUCACCCCUACAUCAUACACAAAUUAUGUGUUUUAGGAUUAGGGUUUGGACAACCCCAUGCAUAUGUUAACAAUUAAUGACUAAUAACUCAGCAAAAUAUCCUUGCAUAAGAAUAAUUGACAACCUCUUAUCACGAUAUUUGUAUGAGGGUGUGUUUGAGUGUUUGAAUUUAGAAGAAAAAGAGCAUAAAAAAUGAAAAAAAAAAAGUUUUGUUGGUUUCAAACUCAAGUUGGAAUCAUAGGUUAAGAUAAAUGAAUUGAAAAAAAAGGCAAUGAUGAAAAUGGUGAAGUGAAAGAUGACCAAAAGGAACAAUGAAAAAUGGAGGAUGAAACAAAGCAUUUGGCAUGAAAGUAUUGUUUUGGUGUGCCGUACCAGGCAUUAGCUGGACCAUAUACGAUGCCGUAUUGGAUGCCUUCAGCUAC
rnacentral:lncRNA from 1 species